GAAAAGGACUUUUCUUCCUAGACUUGCCAUCCCAUUGAACAGACACAGCAUUUCAAGGGUUUAAAGCUGCAUUUCAGGAUACCUCUACCCACGCCCCGGCACCAAAUAUUUCCAACAGGAGCGAGUCCAGCAGGAGGAUUGCAGUUUCCUGAAGUUCUCGGUCACGUCAAGUGCGAUACUUCAGAUUCUCUCAGCAGAUUCAUCGUGACACAAAAGGGAACCGCUGCGGCAGCUUUCCUUAGCAGCAGAUCGGUCUCUCCGACGGAUUCGCUUCGGAGAGAUAAAUGCGGAUGGAUCGACCUCCUGGCAGAGCGCCCCGUCCCAGAUGAGGGGAUCCCCCUGGGAAGGAAGUAAAGCCGGAUAGCAGCAGCGAAGGCGAAGCAUUGUGAAGGUGGUCUACUUGCAAGAUAUCCCAGCCCAGGAUGCCAGAGGACAGGUGGGUGCAAGCUCUAAGUGUGUUUUGGUGUUUAAGUCCCUGGUUUGCUGAUAAUGUUUAGUUCUCUAAGAUGGAAUGAAAGAACCGUAUCACGAAUCCCACCUUGUGGAUCCUGACACGAAUCGGUGUCACGGACAGGAUUCUGAGAGACAGAAGGGGUUGCAGAUUUGUCGUGCACUCGGUAUCGGGGGAAAGACGUUUCGCCUCAGCCGCCCCUAGCCUGCCACGCCGGUGAGCAGUGUCUAGAAAGCAAGGGAGGCGAUUCGAAUUUUUUAAAAACUGCACACGCCUAGAUGCAAAGCACCCCACACUCAUUUGAGGGCUCUGUCUUCAGAAUUUUACAAGGGAUAUUUGAAUGCAAGAGUUUGGACUGACUGAUUUUUCUGUUUAAAGUACUUGUUUGCUGAUAAUGUUUAGUUCUCUAAGACAGAAGGAAGGAACCACAUGACAAAUCCCACCUUGUGGAUCCCGACACGAAUCGGUGUCACGGACAGGAUUCUGAGAGACAGAAGGGGUUGCAGAUUUGUAGUGCACUCAGUAUCGGGGGAAAGACGUUUCGCCUCAGCCGCCCCUAGCCUGCCACGCCGGUGAGCAGUGCCUAGAAAGCAAGGGAGGCGAUUCGAAUUUUUUAAAAACUGCACACGCCUAGAUGCAAAGCACCCCACACUCGUUUGAGGGCUCUGUCUUCAGAAUUUUACAAGGGAUAUUUGAGUACAAGAGUUUGGACUGACUGAUUUUUCUGUUUAAAGUACUUGUUUGCUGAUAAUGUUUAGUUCUCUAAGAUGGAAUGAAAGAACCAGAUCACAAAUCCCACCUCGUGGAUCCCGACACAAAUCGGUGUCACGGACAGGAUUCUGAGAGACAGAAGGGGUUGCAGAUUUGUUGUGCACUCAGUCUCGGGCAAAGACGUUUCGCCUCAGCCGCCCCUAGCCUGCCACGCCGGUGAGCAGUGUCUAGAAAGCAAGGGAGGCGAUUCGAAUUUUUUAAAAACUGCACACGCCUAGAUGCAAAGCACCCCACACUCAUUUGAGGGCUCUGUCUUCAGAACUUUACAGGGGAUCUUUGAGUACGAGAGGUGGGACUGAGUGGUUUUUCUUCUGUUUAAGUCCCUGGUUGGCUGACAAGCUUUCGUAGUCCAAGAUGGAAUAAAGGAACCGCAUCAGGAAUUCCACCUUGCGGAUGGUGCCAGUCAUAUUUUCUGUUUUGUCCGAGGUUCCGUGCAGAGAGGCAGAGCCGAAGUUUGCGAUCGGCCGCACCGA